rnacentral:rRNA from 1 species
AAGUCGAACGCUUUGUGGUUCAACUGAUUUGAAGAGCUUGCUCAGAUAUGACGAUGGACAUUGCAAAGAGUGGCGAACGGGUGAGUAACACGUGGGAAACCUACCUCUUAGCAGGGGAUAACAUUUGGAAACAGAUGCUAAUACCGUAUAACAAUGACAACCGCAUGGUUGUUAUUUAAAAGAUGGUUCUGCUAUCACUAAGAGAUGGUCCCGCGGUGCAUUAGCUAGUUGGUAAGGUAAUGGCUUACCAAGGCGAUGAUGCAUAGCCGAGUUGAGAGACUGAUCGGCCACAAUGGGACUGAGACACGGCCCAUACUCCUACGGGAGGCAGCAGUAGGGAAUCUUCCACAAUGGGCGAAAGCCUGAUGGAGCAACGCCGCGUGUGUGAUGAAGGGUUUCGGCUCGUAAAACACUGUUGUAAGAGAAGAAUGACAUUGAGAGUAACUGUUCAAUGUGUGACGGUAUCUUACCAGAAAGGAACGGCUAAAUACGUGCCAGCAGCCGCGGUAAUACGUAUGUUCCAAGCGUUAUCCGGAUUUAUUGGGCGUAAAGCGAGCGCAGACGGUUAUUUAAGUCUGAAGUGAAAGCCCUCAGCUCAACUGAGGAAUUGCUUUGGAAACUGGAUGACUUGAGUGCAGUAGAGGAAAGUGGAACUCCAUGUGUAGCGGUGAAAUGCGUAGAUAUAUGGAAGAACACCAGUGGCGAAGGCGGCUUUCUGGACUGUAACUGACGUUGAGGCUCGAAAGUGUGGGUAGCAAACAGGAUUAGAUACCCUGGUAGUCCACACCGUAAACGAUGAGUGCUAGGUGUUUGAGGGUUUCCGCCCUUAAGUGCCGCAGCUAACGCAUUAAGCACUCCGCCUGGGGAGUACGACCGCAAGGUUGAAACUCAAAGGAAUUGACGGGGACCCGCACAAGCGGUGGAGCAUGUGGUUUAAUUCGAAGCAACGCGAAGAACCUUACCAGGUCUUGACAUCCCUUGACAACUCCAGAGAUGGAGUGUUCCCUUCGGGGACAAGGUGACAGGUGGUGCAUGGUUGUCGUCAGCUCGUGUCGUGAGAUGUUGGGUUAAGUCCCGCAACGAGCGCAACCCUUAUUACUAGUUGCCAGCAUUCAGUUGGGCACUCUAGUGAGACUGCCGGUGACAAACCGGAGGAAGGUGGGGAUGACGUCAAAUCAUCAUGCCCCUUAUGACCUGGGCUACACACGUGCUACAAUGGCGUAUACAACGAGUUGCCAACCCGCGAGGGUGAGCUAAUCUCUUAAAGUACGUCUCAGUUCGGAUUGUAGGCUGCAACUCGCCUACAUGAAGUCGGAAUCGCUAGUAAUCGCGGAUCAGCACGCCGCGGUGAAUACGUUCCCGGGUCUUGUACACACCGCCCGUCACACCAUGAGAGUUUGUAACACCCAAAGCCGGUGGGGUAACCUUCGGGAGCCAGCCG